rnacentral:sRNA from 1 species
CACCGACGAUUUGGCGCCCUGUGCUGC